GUGCUUGCUUCAGCACAUAUACUAAAACUGGAAUGAAACAGACAAGAUUAGUAUGGCCCCCUGUGCAAGGAUGACACUAAAAUUUGUGAAGCAUUCCAUAUUUAC
rnacentral:snRNA from 1 species